ACAGUCUACAACCAGAAACCACACCACUGGCUCCACUGCCACGGGUGAGAUCGUGGUGCUGUGGCACCAGGAGAGGGCACCAGAAGCUCUGACUCUUCCUCUGUGCCCCAGGACUGGAGGUGCACAGGAGGAAGUCAUCCACAAAGCAACAUUUCUCUUCUGGACAUACCCUUUCAUUCCCAGAUUUAGAGCUACCUCGUGGUCUGACCUGGAAAGGCUGGGUUUUUACCCACGAGAGCUGGCAGUGCCCUGUUCAGUCCAAUCUCUUGACAAUAAAGGUUAAAGAAAAAAUCAUCCGUUUUCGACAAAUACAUAAGAUUAUAUCUACUGACUGUGGCAAGAAGAGAAAAUAUGGCCCCUUCUACAAACCAGGGGAUGACAAUGAAUCCUGAAGAUAUCUAUAUAGGGCUGGACUACACUGACUAGGAUAGGAGGAUGCCAGAGCAGAACAAGCCUGUGGAGUUCGCUGCAGCUGGAGCCACUUCAGAUCUAGGCAGGUCUCAAAACCAGAUUCUAUUUUUACUGAUCAUAGGAGUGGGAUUAAUGGGUUUCUUUUGAGGUCAUCUUCACAGCAGUACACCCUUGGUUUGUUACAGGGUCCUGUUGACCCGGACCUUGUCCUUAAUUGUGCUUUGGUCACCAAUAUGUAACAGCAAGAGCUGUAGCUGCAGCACAACUGCUGUAAUCUACUCACAUAACCUUCUUAUAAUGUACAUUCCUCUUUCAAUCUUUUAUUUUCUUGAGCUAAAAAGUAUUUUUAAGAAGAAAAUAUGUAGUCUUCAUGUUACGGUAACAUAUUGUGAAUAAUUUACCUUGACUAGGAAAAAUUUGCCAUAGGGUUAAUUAAAUUCACUGUUUAGGAAAAAAAAAAAAAAAAAAAAAAAAAAAAAAAAAAAAAAAAAAAAAAAAGGAAAGCAAAACCCAAUUUUAUCAUCUGCCUGUAAUUAGAUCUUGUUAUACUUUGUCAGCUAGACAGAGAAGCUCUCCAUUACAAAAUACCUAUUCCCUCUGGUACCCACAGACUGGGAUCUAAUCACCUCUUAACAUGCUACUUGAUGAAUUCUCAUUGCUCACUAAGAGAUGCACUUUCCAACCUUGCAGUUGUUUGCUCGGCUCCCAUCUGAAUCCUAACAAGUAGUUUGCCAUCCAUCCUGAGCUGCAGACCAUAGUAGACAUUUCAAUUCCAAAAUAUAUACUGGCACAAAAUAAAAAAAGCAAUAGAGACUCUCCA
rnacentral:lncRNA from 1 species